rnacentral:lncRNA from 1 species
CGCAGAAGGUGACUCACCUAGUCACUGUCAGAGAAGAAACACCACCCCGAAAUCCCCAUUCUGUGAUUCCAGCUGCCUAACGCUACCACGUGGCUGCAGCCCGAGACCCUCUCCGUGCAGGGUCCAGAAGGUGGGAAGGCAAAGAUUCCACCCGCAGGUUAGGAAGUUCUGAAGGGGCUGAACCUGAACGUGGUAACUCUGGCUGACCACCCCUCAUUCCCCCAAGAGCUAGAAGUCACCACCUCUGUGCAGAAGCUGUUUCUCAUCGCCUAAUGCUUGGCCUCCUGAUCUGGGGCAGACGCAGAUAAGCUCCCGCAGCAGUAUCCACAGAAAGAAGGCAGAGAGAUCUCAACGGUAGGAAACCCUGGCAUUUUAAACUCUGCAUUUCACAAAAGUCGUUUUGUUGUCAUCAUAAUUACCAAAUUUAAAUUGCCUCUAUAUUCAGGUUUCAAGAAGCCAUAAAGAGAGAAAGGAGAGAUUUUCAUGGUGAGAAAUGAAAAUGAUGAGAAGAAGAGGCAAUCUGUGGAGCCGAGACUUAAAGAGGAAAAAUGUUUCUGGAGUCAGCUGCAGCCAAGGUGCCUAAAAAAGAAAGAGACGAAAGAGAAGGGGCUCUCGGAUGCCCAAACACAGUGUGUUUCGUGUACCAGUGGAGGUCUGGCUCCAGACCCUGAAGCUUUGGGAACAAACACUUGCCUUGCUGAAUGUGAUGGUCAGAAUCAGAAAAAAUCUGCCCAACUGGAUUGCGUGAUCCUGGAUCCCCGUCUGUCUCUUCAGAGAGAAGCACCAGCUGGCUGGAAGGAAGCAAAGCACUUGUUAUUCAAAGCAUUGCUAGA